AACGAACGCUGGCGGCAUGCCUAACACAUGCAAGUCGAACGAGACCUUCGGGUCUAGUGGCGCACGGGUGCGUAACGCGUGGGAACCUGCCCUUAGGUUCGGAAUAACUCCCCGAAAGGGGUGCUAAUACCGGAUAAUGUCUUCGGACCAAAGAUUUAUCGCCUUUGGAUGGGCCCGCGUUGGAUUAGCUAGUUGGUAGGGUAAAAGCCUACCAAGGCGACGAUCCAUAGCUGGUCUGAGAGGAUGAUCAGCCACACUGGGACUGGGACACGGCCCAGACCCCAACGGGGGGCGGCAGUGGGGAAAAUUGGACAUUGGGCGAAAGCCUGUUCCGGCAAUGCCGCGUGGGUGAUAAAGGCCUUGGGUUGGUAAAGCUCUUUUCCCCGGGAGGAUAUGACAGUACCGGGAGAAUAAGCUCCGGCUAACUCCGUG
rnacentral:rRNA from 1 species